rnacentral:rRNA from 1 species
AGUGAACGCUGGCGGCAGGCCUAACACAUGCAAGUCGAACGGCAGCACAGUAAGAGCUUGCUCUUACGGGUGGCGAGUGGCGGACGGGUGAGGAAUACAUCGGAAUCUACUUUUUCGGGGGGGAUAACGUAGGGAAACUUACGAUAAUACCGCAUACGACCUACGGGUGAAAGCAGGGGAACUUCGGACCUUGCGCGAUUGAAUGAGCCGAUGUCGGAUUAGCUAGUUGGCGGGGUAAAGGCCCACCAAGGCGACGAUCCGUAGCUGGUCUGAGAGGAUGAUCAGCCACACUGGAACUGAGACACGGUCCAGGCUCCUGCGGGAGGCCGCAGUGGGGAAUAUUGGACAAUGGUCGCAAGCCUGAUCCAGCCAUACCGCGUGGGUGAAGAAGGCCUUCGGUUUGUAAAGCCCUUUUGUUGGGAAAGAAAAGCAGCAGGUUAAUACCCCGCUGUUCUGACGGUACCCAAAGAAUAAGCACCGGCUAACUUCGUG